rnacentral:rRNA from 1 species
CGGGUGAGUAACGCGUGAGUAACCUGCCUUACACAAGGGGAUAGCCGUUGGAAACGACGAAUAAUACCCUAUGACAUAAACUCUUCGCAUGAGGAGCUUAUCAAAGAUUUAUCGGUGUAAGAUGGACUCGCGUCUGAUUAGCUAGUUGGUGAGGUAACGACCCACCAAGGCGACGAUCAGUAGCCGGCUUGAGAGAGUGUACGGCCACAUUGGGACUGAGACACGGCCCAGACUCCUACGGGAGGCAGCAGUG